AAUGCAUGGUAGACUCCUUGGAGAAGUGGUUUGCUAUGUUUUCUCCUUUUGCAAAAGACUUGAUUGAAAACUAAAACAUUGUCUGUGGUUGUCUUUUUAUGAAGGUUUGAGAAAUACCUAUCAAAAACAAAGACAUAUUUUCUCGUCAUGCUGAUAUUUCCACUUUCUAAAACAUAAUUUAAAAACAUUUAACUGUACAGGUUCUUCCUUUGCAACAUGAUUCAAGUCUUAAGUCUUUGCCCAGCCUACAAGCAGCCAGCAUUUUGUAAACUGGUACAGGAAGGCUCUGCACAGAUCUGAUCUGCAGAUGCCAGUGGAACAAAACCAACAGUAGCAAAGAAAAAUAAAGACAGAGGUGUGUAGCUACGGUGGUACUGUAGUGACACUUCAACUGCUUAAAAGGUAGGAAAUGACUUGAAAUGUUUGCUGGUUGCUUCAGUUAUUGUGUGUGAUUGGUGAUCUUCAACAUCUAGGAUGUUAUUAAAGUAUGCUCGAUGUAUCAAGACAAGAAGACUUACUGCAGGUAAUUGCAAGAAGCAUUUAUUUUACUUCAGUUCAUCAAGCUAGUCUUUUCAUCUAAGAUGAAAUAUUUAAUCAAAUGUUACCUGAAGUCUGUUACCAGGAAAUAUUUAACACAGGUGAUACUUGAAAGCAAUUUUUUUUACUACAUCUAAACACCAUAUUUCUAUCACAAUGCCAAAGAUUUUAUUUUAUUUUUUUUAAGGUAAAAAGUGUCAGGAACCUGUGUGCAUGUGUGUGUGAGUAACACAUCUUCUCUAGCGAGGAUCUUGGUGAGGAGCCAGGGCAGUCAACACAGGUGGAGAUCAUCAGCCUCAUCAGGGGUUGGGAAUAAAGGAGCUGCAGAGUCUUCAAUCAGUGCUGGAGGAUUAACGCUACCGGUAGUCUCUCUGGCUCUCUCUCUCGUUGUCUGCUAGUUUUAGCUUAUGUUUAGUCUCUCGAGCUUUGCUACCAGAGUUUCAUAUCCUUGUGUUGCUGCCUCCAGGUUUCAUCAAGGAAAUCUCCAAGAAGGAGUUGUCCAUCUGUUUUCACUCUCCAAGUCUCUUAUUUGCGAAGAAUCUGCCUGCCCAUUCCCAGCCAUCAUUUAACUCCAUCUGGACCUUUGGCUCACAUUACCCUCACCAAAUUCCACACGGGUUUCAGGACAACCUUCCCCCCACAGUUCACCAGAACCGUCAUACGAGUGCCGCCGUUUGUGGAUCACUUCCAUUAUCCUGAGACGCUACGUGGACCUGUCAAUUGUGUUCGAUCUUUUGUUAAUAAAUCCCUUUUUCUGGACUUGGACUUGUUGAGUCUGCAUGUGGGUCAAAAGAUUAGAGCCGAUCAUGUCAAAAAGUUUCUCUAGGCGGAGAAAUUGGUUUUUCAAAUGAAGAUUCGUGUUUGUAUGGCUUUCUCAUAUAAGCAAAAUCGAUUUUGUUUAUGUUACUAUACAUUAAUAAAAAAAGGACAAUGAUCAAAGAUAAAAUUGGGGCUAAAAUAAAAACAUAAGCACUAUAAAUAAAACUGUUUUGCCUUACACAGACUUGUAAUCUGAGGAAAUUACGAUGACUGAUUACAAUGAGAUUGAUGCAGCAGAAUAUCAGACCCGUAUUAAAAAUCACGUGAAAGUGGAAGUGCACUCUCAUCACGUGUUUCUGACAGUUUCCGACACUGCCACUUCAGAAGGAGCCAGAAGGAAUGAUCCAAUUACCUCCUUCGGCCAGCAGAGGGAGCUUGUAUACGGCGCAUAAAACAACAGUGAGUACAACCCUCACAAUUUUGAAAAUAUUUUACUACAUUUUUUUAUGGGAAAAUAAUGAUGAUA